UACGUAGGGGGCAAGCGUUGUCCGGAUUUAUUGGGCGUAAAGAGCGUGUAGGCGGCCAGACAGGUCAGCUGUGAAAACUCGAGGCUCAACCUCGAGACGUCGGUUGAAACCGUCUGGCUAGAGUCCGGAAGAGGAGAGUGGAAUUAGUAGUGUAGCAGUGAAAUGCGUAGAGAUUACUAGGAACACCAAUGGCGAAGGCAGCUUGCUGGGCCGUAUCUGACGCUGAGGUACGAAAGCGUGGGGAGCGAACGGG
rnacentral:rRNA from 1 species